GUGAGUCAUGAGCACUGAUGAAGGUGGACCCUGGGCAGCCCUUUUGCAUUUUGAAGUGAGAAGCCGGAGAUGUGUGGAGUUCCAAGCCCUUCUGAAUCGUUUGACGGAAACUGAGGCCCAGAAGGGGAAGGCACGGGCCGAGUGACCUAAGUUUUGACCACCUGUUGUGGCCUUGGGGUCCAGGCCCUCCGCCUUCAGCUCCAGCGCCCUCUUCCCUGGAGCCUGCUGGCUCUUGCCAUUUUCUAGCCCCAGAUGCCUGUAAUGUAGACAUUUAAAAUAAAUCUGAGGCCCAGAUACAGCCAGGAUAUUCAAGAAGCUUCAAGAACCAUAUAUCAAGGUGAUCCCUGCGUGGGUGUUUGUAGCCCUGCACAACUCACGACCGGUGACCCUGCCUUGGUAUAUGGUCUUCAUGUUUUAGAAUUGAAGCAAUUCAUCACACAGUCUUCAGCUUUCUGUUGUGCCUCAUGGUGGUGUGGAAGCAACCCUGGAUUCCCCAAAGCUUUGUUGGAAGAAAGUAAGCUCUGUCAGAUCUUUCAGAGCUUGAAGGGUUUUGAAUACAGAUUCAGCAAAAGAAUGAAAUCUAAGCACUGGUUGAGCUCAUUUGGAAAGGACCAUACUGAGGUUGGCUGCAAAGUGAGAAAUGUUUUAGCCACAGAAACUAAUGAAGACCAGAAGGACUGUGAGCCAUCAGUACAAGUAGUACCCAUAUUGAUAAGUCACAAAAUGUCAAGGUAUUAUUGAUGCAUACAAUUAUUGAGAUGCUUAUGGACUUGGAAAAUUGUGAGGAUUUUGUAAUUUUAGUGACUUCAGUGUUGGGCCCUGUUCUCAGACAGAAUGAAUUUGGUUUUGUUUUUUUUUACUAAAAAACUAUGUGGAUGAUUUUGUCUUCACCCACAGUUCCUCCUGGAUUAAUGACAAUCUGGUUUAUGUCACUUUAAUGGCCACUUAUAAACUCUGAGGCUACCAAAAGUAUUAAGCAUAGAAGACUAUUGUUAAAGUAGUAGAGAACAGAAAGAGUCUCUGAGUGACUAACAAAACAACUGGGGCCUGAGAAUCUCCCUGCUAAGUUCCAUGUACCUUCCCAG
rnacentral:lncRNA from 1 species